AGCGAACGCUGGCGGCAGGCUUAACACAUGCAAGUCGAGCGGGCGUAGCAAUACGUCAGCGGCAGACGGGUGAGUAACGCGUGGGAACGUACCUUUUGGUUCGGAACAACACAGGGAAACUUGUGCUAAUACCGGAUAAGCCCUUACGGGGAAAGAUUUAUCGCCGAAAGAUCGGCCCGCGUCUGAUUAGCUAGUUGGUGAGGUAACGGCUCACCAAGGCGACGAUCAGUAGCUGGUCUGAGAGGACGAUCAGCCACACUGGAACUGAGAUACGGUCCAGACUCCUACGGGAGGCAGCAGUGGGGAAUAUUGGACAAUGGGCGAAAGCCUGAUCCAGCAAUGCCGCGUGAGUGAAGAAGGCCUUAGGGUUGUAAAGCUCUUUUAGUAAGGAAAAUAAUGAUGGUACUUACAGAAAAGACACCGGCUAACUCCGUG
rnacentral:rRNA from 1 species